GCAGCUUGCUGCUUCGCUGACGAGUGGCGGACGGGUGAGUAAUGUCUGGGAAACUGCCUGAUGGAGGGGGAUAACUACUGGAAACGGUAGCUAAUACCGCAUAACGUCGCAAGACCAAAGAGGGGGACCUUCGGGCCUCUUGCCAUCAGAUGUGCCCAGAUGGGAUUAGCUAGUAGGUGGGGUAACGGCUCACCUAGGCGACGAUCCCUAGCUGGUCUGAGAGGAUGACCAGCCACACUGGAACUGAGACACGGUCCAGACUCCUACGGGAGGCAGCAGUGGGGAAUAUUGCACAAUGGGCGCAAGCCUGAUGCAGCCAUGCCGCGUGUAUGAAGAAGGCCUUCGGGUUGUAAAGUACUUUCAGCGGGGAGGAAGGCGAU
rnacentral:rRNA from 1 species